rnacentral:rRNA from 1 species
CCAGUAGUCAUAUGCUUGUCUCAAAGAUUAAGCCAUGCAUGUCUAAGUCCAAGCUGUGUUCACACGGCGAGACCGCGGACGGCUCAUUAAAUCAGUCGUGGUCCAAAUGGGCCAGUGCAAAUCCUACUUGGAUAACUGUGGUAAUUCCAGAGCUAAUACAUGCAACUGAUAUCCCGAAGGCGGUGUUUGGGCUUGCUUGCCUUGCGCUGCGCUGCUCUGACGGAUGCUUUUAUUAGACCAAGCCGCUGAGGACUUGAGGGUUCGCGCUCUCUUGUCUGACUCGUGUGAUGGUGACUCUGGAUAACCAAAUUCUGACAAGCGCACGUACUUCUCUUCUGAGCGAGACGGCGCUGCCACUUUCGAGUGUCUGCCUUAUCAGCUAUCAACCGUUCGUUAUGCGCGACCGAUGGCUUUGACGGGUAACGGGGAAUCAGGGUUCGAUUCCGGAGAGGCAGCCUGAGAGACGGCUACCACGUCCAAGGACGGCAGCAGGCACGCAAAUUACCCAAUCCCAGCAAAUGGGGGAGGUAGUGACGAAAUCUAACGAUGCGGGCGCCCUUUCUGGGGCCCCGCAAUCGGAAUGGGCACUUUCUAAACAACCUG